rnacentral:rRNA from 1 species
CCUACGGGUGGCUGCAGUCGAGGAUCUUCGUCAAUGGGCGCAAGCCUGAACGAGCGACGCCGCGUGCGCGAUGAAGGCCUUCGGGUUGUAAAGCGCGAAAGUGGGGAUAAAACCGUAAGGUUGAUAGAUCCACAGUAAGGACGGGCUAAGUUCGUGCCAGCAGCCGCGGUAAGACGAACUGUCCUAACGUUGUUCGGAAUCACUGGGCUUAAAGGGCGCGUAGGCGGUCCGACAAGUCAGGGGUGAAAUCCUGCAGCUUAACUGCAGAAGUGCCUUUGAUACUGUCGGUCUCGAGGGAGAUAGGGGUGUGCGGAACUUCCAGUGGAGCGGUGAAAUGCGUUGAUAUUGGAAGGAACGCCGGAGGCGAAAGCGGCGCACUGGAUCUCUUCUGACGCUGAGGCGCGAAAGCUAGGGGAGCAAACGGGAUUAGAUACCCUAGUAGUC